CUGCUGCCUCCCGUAGGAGUUUGGGCCGUGUCUCAGUCCCAAUGUGGCCGUUCACCCUCUCAGGCCGGCUACUGAUCGUCGCCUUGGUGGGCCUUUACCCCGCCAACCAGCUAAUCAGACGCGGAUCCAUCGUAUACCACCGGAGUUUUUCACACUGCUUCAUGCGAAGCUGUGCGCUUAUGCGGUAUCAGCACCUAUUUCUAAGUGUUAUCCCCCAGUAUACGGCAGGUUCUCCACGCGUUACUCACCCCG
rnacentral:rRNA from 1 species